rnacentral:rRNA from 1 species
GUCGGUGCCGCAGCUAACGCAUUAAGUUCCCCGCCUGGCGAGUACGGCCGCAAGGCUAAAACUCAAAGGAAUUGACGGGGGGCCCGCACAAGCGGCGGAGCAUGUGGCUUAAUUCGACGCAACGCGAAGAACCUUACCAAGGCUUGACAUACGCCGGAAAGCAUUAGAGAUAGUGCCCCCCUUGUGGUCGGUGUACAGGUGGUGCAUGGCUGUCGUCAGCUCGUGUCGUGAGAUGUUGGGUUAAGUCCCGCAACGAGCGCAACCCUUGUCCUCGUGUUGCCAGCAGGCCCUUGUGGUGCUGGGGACUCACGGGAGACCGCCGGGGUCAACUCGGAGGAAGGUGGGGACGACGUCAAGUCAUCAUGCCCCUUAUGUCUUGGGCUGCACACGUGCUACAAUGGCCGGUACAAUGAGAUGCGAUGCCGUGAGGUGGAGCGAAUCUCAAAAAGCCGGUCUCAGUUCGGAUUGGGGUCUGCAACUCGACCCCAUGAAGUCGGAGUCGCUAGUAAUCGCAGAUCAGCAUCGCUGCGGUGAAUACUUUCCCGGGCCUUGUACACACCGCCCGUCACGUCACGAAAGUCG